UGACUGGGCAGGUCUUAAUGCUAAGAUGGUAAUCUCUGAUGAUCACCUGGGCCCAAAGAUAUUCAGAAAGUUCUGGCUCAUAUAAACUAUUGAUAAAUAACUUAGGUAUCACUGCUAUUUGGUUAUCUCUGACUUAAUACGCAUAGUUCUCUUUCAAGCAUUUUGAUUUAAUGUUGAAAACUGUUUGAUAGUAACCUCCAGUGUGCACCUGAGCCAGAAAUCAAUCACCAGCACUUCCAGAUUGGCAGUGGAGCGCGUAUCACAACUCGUAGCUUGGUUUUAGCCUUGGUUAAGGACCAAAUUUCCAAAAGCACUUAGCUUAAAUAAAAUUUGCUUUCACUUGGAAAACUACUACUGUUAAAAGCAAGAUACACCUUUACUCGUAUGUAAAAAUACGGGGCAGUUCAAACAAAUAAGGCUGUUUCCUAUGAGACAUAAUUGCUUAGUUGCCAAAGUACUAAAUAAAACUUGAGGAGGUAAAUAAGGUAAAGAAAUGUAUUUUCCAGUAGUGGCUUUGCUUGGAGUUUCUGUGUACCUGUGGAGUGUAGUAAGAAACUACUACAGAAGACCGUUCAACAUCUUGUGCAGUUCACAAGUAGUUACUAGAGCUCUGGUUUAUAUUUAUAUACCUAUUUUAUUGAGGUAAACUUAAUGAAGGUAAUUUUUAGUUCUUUUCUGCUUCCUUUUUAAAGCUACCUUUCGCAAAAGGAAACUAAAAGGUUCUCCCACACACCGUGUCAACAGUGAUGAGGAAGAUGCAAAAAAGCCAAAAGCUAAUAACCUGGGUGGGUCAGAGUCUAAAAAACAAUGGGAGAAGCGAGAGAUGCUUGUAAAGAAGCUGCAAAAUACAUUCCCUGGAUUGGACAAGAAGAAACUGAGAGAUGUACUUCAGGAACAUAACUGGGUAUUUCAGGAAGCACAAGAAGCCCUGAGAGUAUCUGCGGAAGACAAUGAAGGUAAAGACAGGCUUAAAAUGCAUUUUAUCCCAAGCCAAAACAAACAGGCUUAUAGUAUAAAUCUUUUCAAAUGUCCGGCAAUGACGGCCCUGACAGUGCUACAUCUAGAA